rnacentral:rRNA from 1 species
AUAAUGCCCACGGGUCAAAGCAGCAAUGCGCUUGGAGAGGAGUUCGCGGCCGAUUAGCUAGUUGGCGGGGUAAUGGCCCACCAAGGCGAUGAUCGGUAUCCGGCCUGAGAGGGCGCACGGACACACUGGAACUGAAACACGGUCCAGACUCCUACGGGAGGCAGCAGUGGGGAAUUUUGCGCAAUGGGGGAAACCCUGACGCAGCAACGCCGCGUGGAGGAUGAAAUCCCUUGGGAUGUAAACUCCUUUCGAUAGGGACGAUGAUGACGGUACCUAUAGAAGAAGCCCCGGCUAACUUCGUGCCAGCAGCCGCGGUAAUACGAGGGGGGCAAGCGUUGUUCGGAAUUAUUGGGCGUAAAGGGUGCGUAGGCGGUUUGGUAAGUCUUGUGUGAAAUCUCCGGGCUCAACUCGGAGCCUGCACGAGAAACUGCCGGGCUUGAGUGUGGGAGAGGUGAGUGGAUUUCCCGGUGUAGCGGUGAAAUGCGUAGAUAUCGGGAGGAACACCUGUGCGAAAGCGGCUCACUGGACCACAACUGACGCUGAUGCACGAAAGCUAGGGGAGCAAACAGGAUUAGAUACCCUGGUAGUCCUAGCCCUAAACGAUGAUUGCUUGGUGUGACGGGUACCCAAUCCCGCCGUGCCGUAGCUAACGCGUUAAGCAAUCCGCCUGGGGAGUACGGUCGCAAGGCUGAA